CAGCCGUAAACAAUGUGCGUUAGGUGUGUCGGUAACCACGUGUUACUGAUGCGCCGAAGAGAAAUCGUGAAACGCACCACCUGGGAAGUACGGUCGCAAGGCUGAAACUUAAAGGAAUUGGCGGGGGAGCACCACAGCAGGUGGAGCCUGCGGUUUAAUUGGAUUCAACGCCGGAAAUCUCACCGGAUAGGACAGACAUAUGAUAGUCGGGCUGAAGACUCUACUUGAUGAUCUGAGAGGUGGUGCAUGGCGUCAGUGACU
rnacentral:rRNA from 1 species